AAACGUGGCCAUGCUCUCUUCUCGAUCGUUGCUCCAUUGAGAAGACAGAAGGUCCCCUCAACUCUCAAACCUCCUGCAUGGUGCUUCAUAUCUAUGCUGGAUGUAUGAAAGGCAGAAAAAUUGUCCUGGGUAGAUAUCUUUCUCUCUUCUAGUUGAACUUAAAUCACUUCUUUCUUUAAGUAAGGUGAAUGAUUUGAUUGCAGAUUUUAGGAUCAAUGUUCCUGUAUAAUUUUUUAUAACUUUGGAAUUUGUCUGGCCAAAUAUUUAUUACUAUGAUCUUGAAAAGAAGUCACUCUUUGCAUUAACAGAUACUGACAACUGCAUUAUGAUAACUACUGUGCUAUUGAGGAAUCAA